UAAUCGCAGAUCAGCAUUGCUGCGGUGAAUACGUUCCCGGGCCUUGUACACACCGCCCGUCACGUCACGAAAGUCGGUAACACCCGAAGCCGGUGGCCCAACCCCCUUGUGGGGAGGGAGCUGUCGAAGGUGGGACUGGCGAUUGGGACGAAGUCGUAACAAGGUAGCCGUACCGGAAGGUGCGGCUGGAUCACCUCCUUUCUAAGGAG
rnacentral:rRNA from 1 species